rnacentral:rRNA from 1 species
CCACAUCACGAAAGUGGAUUGUACUAGAAGUCUGUAUGCUGACCGCAAGGAGGCAGCGGCCCAAGGUAUGAUUCAUGAUUGGGGUG